rnacentral:rRNA from 1 species
GUCGAACGGUAACAGGCCUUCGGGCGCUGACGAGUGGCGGACGGGUGAGUAACGCGUAGGAAUCUGCCUCAUAGUGGGGGACAACGUGGGGAAACUCACGCUAAUACCGCAUACGCCCUACGGGGGAAAGGAGGGGAUCUUCGGACCUUUCGCUAUGAGAUGAGCCUGCGUUAGAUUAGCUAGUUGGUAGGGUAAAGGCCUACCAAGGCGACGAUCUAUAGCUGGUCUGAGAGGACGAUCAGCCACACUGGGACUGAGACACGGCCCAGACUCCUACGGGAGGCAGCAGUGGGGAAUAUUGGACAAUGGGCGAAAGCCUGAUCCAGCAAUACCGCGUGUGUGAAGAAGGCCUUAGGGUUGUAAAGCACUUUCAAUUGGGAGGAAAACCUGCCGGCCAAUACCCGGUAGCUUGACAUUACCUUUAGAAGAAGCACCGGCUAACUCCGUGCCAGCAGCCGCGGUAAUACGGAGGGUGCGAGCGUUAAUCGGAAUUACUGGGCGUAAAGCGUGCGUAGGCGGUUCGUUAAGUCAGAUGUGAAAGCCCUGGGCUCAACCUGGGAACUGCAUUUGAAACUGGCGGACUAGAGUUUAGUAGAGGGGAGUGGAAUUUCAGGUGUAGCGGUGAAAUGCGUAGAUAUCUGAAGGAACACCAGUGGCGAAGGCGACUCCCUGGACUAGAACUGACGCUGAGGUACGAAAGCGUGGGUAGCAAACAGGAUUAGAUACCCUGGUAGUCCACGCCGUAAACGAUGUCGACUAGCCGUUGGCCCUAUUUACAGGGUUAGUGGCGCAGCUAACGCA